CUUCUCCCUUCUUAAUCUCACAUUUGAUUGAAUUAAAAAUUAAAUUUCUUUGCCGUUAGAUUUGAGGCUUAGCAUGGCCGCAGUUCUUUAUGGAUUUGUUUCUCAAAGCGCAAGAUGCAAAUAAAUAUAUCUUUACCAAUCGGCUUCUCAAAGUUCAACAUGGAGACUUCUUAGAAUGAAAAGUUUUGACGAUUUUCUUCUGAUCCUCAGUCUUGGCACGAAAGAUUCCUGGGGACCUUCGAAGGGCUGCCAGUGCCGUAAAUGGCAUCUGUCAUUUAGUCCUGUGUAGUUUGUUAGGCUACUGUAUUGCAGGUGCAGCUAGCAUGGUCGACAAUCCCAUCGCAAUUAUGCUCAAUUGGCGGAUAUGAUCCUGGUUGUAUCUUGUACCUGAAUUGACUAAAUCUAAUUAGUUUAAAUUUAUAUUCAAGUGAUAAUACAUUUUUAAAAAAAAUUCUAUUUGGAUUUUCUAUGUUGGAGGUUUGCAUUAAAGCUGGUUCAGAUUUUACUGUAAUAAGUUAAGUUUAUCAUAGUUCUCUUUGAAGUUUUUUUAUUAAACUUCUUUAUCUCUUGAUGGAUUCCAGGGUAAAGCUAACAUGUUAUCCCGCAAUUUAGAUAGGCGUGGCUUAUCUUUAAGAGUUUUCAAUAUUGAGUGACUAUCUUUCUUCUUUUCAACUCAAUCGAUUAACCAUUCUUUUAUGCAAUUAAAUUGGCACUGCAGUACUCGCAUUUGAUUAUAAUAAGAAGGAAUCUGAGAUGUUUUCAUGUCUUAGGUGGCCUUUUACAGUCUCAUGACAUAUUUCACGACAGCGCUUCGGGAACAAUUACAGUGGCUGAUCAUCAGGUCAUGAUCCAAAUGUAUGGCGUGUGUGUCGUACAGGGUGAGCCUUUCUCUCGAACUGCACAAUCAUUCAUUCCCGAUUUACUGUAUGGAACCGAGAGAAGUUCAGAGAAAAGACAUGAAACAGGCUCUCGAAUGCUGCUAAAAUCCCUGGUGAUUAUUGGAGCUAUACUUGGAGUGUUAGUGGCAUCCAUCGGAGCAUUUAUUCCUUGGCUGUUCCCCUUUAUUUUCACAUCUGAUCUUGAUGUAGCACAAGAGGUUAGGUCGUUUCCUAGUUUUUAAUAGUUACCAUAAGUUUCCAUUUUCUAACUACUAACCACCAAGUAAAGCUGCGUGACUUUUCAUAGUUUACAAGACAGAAUCAGAGUUACGGAGUACUUUCCACUAACAUGAAAAUGUUACAGAUGUGGAACUUAAUUUUAGCAUCUUGCAUCAAAAUGGUUCAGUGUAAAUUUAUGCAGUUGAUGAUUCUGGUCGGUAUUUUCUAUUUUGUGUCCCUGCAGAUCCCACAAAGUGUUGAUUUUGUUCUUUGUUCAUUUAUCUGUAACACACUGCAUUCACUUCCUUGAGGGAACUUUGCUGGUAGUUUUUUUUUUGUAAAAAACAAACCUCUAACCUGCUGUUUCAUUCCUCGCAUCUAUAUAUGUUCUUUACCCACCAAGUGUAUAUAGAAUCAUGUUUAAUUAACGCCUCCAGUGAAAAUUUUAUCUUCAUUGCUCAUAACAUUUACUCUUCAUACCAAACCUCCAGAGCCAGGUAAUAUUUGAUUUCUCUCUCUCCUUGGAACAAUAAUGCUAUCGCCACUUGCAAGUCUUGUGGGCUACUCAAUCUGGGUGAAAUGAACUCUGCCAGCAACAUUCAUAAAAAAGGCUCACAUCUGACCCUUCACAAACACUAUAUAUAACGAGUUUUAAAAAAGUAAAAAAUAGAAAAAAGUUUGCUAGAAGAGCGAACUUGAUUCCUCCCAUGUAUAACUAGUCAUCUAGUUCGGCGGAUCCUCUGUCUCCAAGAACAAGUUGGUUACCAAGGAUGAUUCAUGUGACCAAGCGAGCUUGUUCAUCAUUCCUAACAAGGACAGUGAAAGUAGCAGAUGAAGAUAGACAUGUAUAGAAAACGUAUUGAAGUCUCCAUCUCUACUUUUUUUUUUUUUAUUCUGAAAAGAAUUAAAAAGCUAAAUAUCGAAUACAUUUUUUUUGAAUGGGCAGAUGAAGAUAGACAUGUAUAGAAAACGUAUUGAAGUCUCCAUCCCUUGUUUUAUAUGUUGAAUUUGAAAUUUGAAAUUUCCUACUGAAACAUGCUUUUUCGAGAUUUUCUUAAAAAUGUUUUUAGUUUUUUUUUAAUUAGAAACGGGGCCUAAGCCCAAAAGAAAAGAGAAAGAAGAGUAGCUAUGACCACGGAGACAGCCACCGCGGAGUUCUCAAAAACGAAUCUUUCAUCAUAUGGACAAUCCUAUCUGAGAUUUUCAUGUUGCCCUUGCUGCUUAUCCCUGGCAUAUCGUUGCUGUGUCACAAGACUCCGGGCCAUAUUGCCUCAAAUAAGGGCAGAUCAGAAAUCAGUCCCUCAUCACUGGAAGAUGAGUAACUGGAAGAGAGAAGGUCCCCCUCGGGGCGGACAUUUUUUCUCACCAGAGGGUCAACAGCUGCUGUUGAACUCGGAAAAACUUCAAGCUGGUAUUAUUGCUCCAUCCACAAAAGAACUACGAUAACAACCAAAGAGGACCUUAUUUCUACGCUCGAGAGUCCUGAAUGGCUGAUAAAGACUACAGGUGCAUUAUAAAUUA